UGGGGAAUCUUGCACAAUGGAGGCAACUCUGAUGCAGCGACGCCGCGUGAGCGAUGAAGCCCUUCGGGGUGUAAAGCUCUUUCGACGGGAAAGAUUAUGACGGUACCCGGAGAAGAAGCUGCGGCUAACUACGUGCCAGCAGCCGCGGUAAUACGUAGGCAGCGAGCGUUGUUCGGAAUUACUGGGCGUAAAGAGUGUGUAGGCGGUGUUCCAAGUCUGGUGUGAAAUCUCCCGGCUCAACUGGGAGGGUGCGCCGGAAACUGGAAUGCUAGAGGGUGGGAGAGGUAAGCGGAAUUCCUGGUGUAGCGGUGAAAUGCGUAGAUAUCAGGAGGAACACCUGUGGUGUAGACAGCUUACUGGACCACUUCUGACGCUGAGACACGAAAGCGUGGGUAGCAAACA
rnacentral:rRNA from 1 species